AACAUUGUUUCACUGAGUUAUGCUGCUCUUCCAAAUUCAGAGUCUUUUAAGUGUUGGGAAGCUGCCAAGCUCACAGUGGCAGAUACAAGUUUUCCAAAACUUUAAUUUUCACUUGAAAGCUCAAAUUUUAUCAUUGGCAACAAAUGCUGUCUAUUGUUUUCCUUUAAGGAACAGUCACACUCCUUUCUUUUUUCAAAAACUAUCUGCCAAAUGUGCCAGUUGGAAUAACCAUAGUCUGUCCAAUAUCCUCAAGUAAAAUGAUGUUUCAUUUUUUUAAAAAAGAAAGAAAAGGGGUGCCUGGGUGACUCAGUCAGUUAAGCGUCCCACUCUAGAUCUCAACUCAGGUCAUGAUCUCCUGAUUCGUGAGAUUGAGCCCCACAUUGGGCUCUGUGCUGACAGUGUGGAGCCUGCUUGAGGUUCUCUCCCUCCCUCUCUGCCCCUCCCCCGUACAUGCUUCCUCUCUGUCUCUCUGAAAAUAAAUAAAUAAGCAUGAAAAAAAAGUCUUAAAGAAAAAAAAAAAAAACCAAAGAUACCCAACAUCUUAUUUUAUUACGGAAUUGCAAAUUAAAACAACGAGAGAAUUAUCAGAAUGGUUGAAAUCCAAAGCACCACCACCAACUAAUGCUGGCGAAGACGUGGAACAACAGGAAGUCUACUUCAUUGCUGAUAGGAAUGCAAAAUGAUGAAGAAACUGAAGCUCCCAGAGGGAAGUGGCUUGCCCAAGACUCUACAGCCAAGGAGUAGGAGAGCUGAUACCCAAAUCUUCUGAUCACAUAGGGACUGAGAAUAUUCUUCAUCACACCGUUAUUGCUUCUUUGACUGCCACUCCUACCACCUAGCAUUUUUCUUUUCGAGUGACUGAUAUUCCAUCUCUCCUGGGAUAGAGCCUUCCUUAACUGUAAGGGAAUCGAUGACUUGUUUCUCUUCUUGCACCCUGCCCAUAUUAUCAUUUCUUUUUCCUUUCUUUUUCUUUUCUUCUCAAGUAAGCUCUAGGCCCAAUGUGAGGCUUUAACUCAUGACCUCAAGAUCAAGAGGCACAUGCUCUUCUAACUGAGCCAGCCAGGCACCCCCAUCCGCAUAGUACCAUUUCUGCUCAUUGUGCAUUGUUUGGUGCCUUACUGAGUGUCUCAUCUUGUGAGGGCAUUAGCAAGGUGGUCGUCUGCCCAAGGGUAGCAUUGUGAUGUUUGCACAGUGAGGUGAGGCCAAGCCUGCAGGGAUUCUGCAUGGUGAAGACAAGGUGGAACAGGUUGCAGUCCCAACUCUGGGCCCUAGAGAAUCUCCCUAAUGGCUGCUGGAUCUAGGCCAAGGGUCAGCUCCCUCAGGGACAUCGAUGUAUAUCCAAGGCUGGCAGUGGCAUGCUAGACCCCAGUAACUCCUCAACUACUGUCACCUUGAUUUCCACCCUGGAAAUCCUCCUUCAUUUCUUUCUGCUCUUCUCAGACAUUCUACUCUGGCCCUUUGUUUCUUGGCACCUUUCAUGUUCCCCUAUCCACCAUUGCCUUAGCAUUUGGACUUUUUUUUUUUUUUUUGAGAGCGAGAGGGCGCCAGUGAGCUAGGGACACACAGAGAGAAUCCUGUGAGGGGCAAAGAGAGAGGAAGAGAGACACAGAGAAGGGGGACUGACCCAAAGCAGGGCUCCAGCUCACCCGAAGUGAAGCUCGUGCUCAUCUGAGGUGGGACUAGAACUGAUGAACCAUGAGAUCCUGACCUGAGCCUAAGUCAGAUGCUUAAGCGACUGAGCCAUCCAGGCGCCCUGGCAUUCUUAAUAA